ACACCUACACACAUUCCUUGUACAGAAAAAUAAUAUAUACAAGAAUUAUACAACAUUUGCAUAACAUAUAAGUUAUACAUUAUAUAGAAAACUUACUCAAACAUAAACAUUUACACAUGUUAAGAAUCUUGCUCAAUAAAAUCUGAGAAAGUUCAGGAAACUUGCCUUUACGCAAUUUACCAUAACGUUAUCCAAUCACUCUUCAAACGACCUAUAUAUAUCAUUAAGGUCAAUUAUACCAAUUAGUACGUAUAUAUGUGACGCCCCCAAAAUAGGUCCACAUGACUCAUUUUGAGUCGCCAAAUACAUACUCUAAAAUUCCAAUACAAACUUUCAUAUUUACAACUAUUAAACUGUCGUUCAAAAUACGACCACACAUACUGUGAGUUUGAAUUAAUACAAAUAUUGCAUCAUACAUAAUACUACAAUAUCCAAACUCAAAUUAAGUCUUCAUUACUGUUAUUACCACACUAUUUCACAACAUAGUGAAGACUUUUAUAGUAAGUGUUUCGGACCAUUACUCCACUCCCCGACUAGUCCCAGCUACACUUUCAUUUCCUGAGAAGAACAAUGGAACAAAAAGGAAAAGGGUGAGCUCAACUAGCCUAGUAAAUAAUAUUAUGACUAAGAUAAUGAGAAAUAAAUUAUCUUUAGCCUUCAACAAUGAUAAAUCAGAUAAAAUAUAAUGGACAGCAAGUUUUAGAUCAACAACUGCAACGGAAAUAGCAAUCCAUUAGAAGAGUCAAGUAGAGCAUGAUGUUUACUAUCUUUUAUGAUUUAAAAGUCUAUCACCAAUAUUUUAUCCAUGUAACACCAAUCAAUAAUUAUUUCCAUCCAACGAAUUAUCUAUGCACUACGGGCCAAAGAUAGUCGUUUGUAUCACCAGUGGUCAUGAUCAUGCCAAACACCUGUUCAUCUAUGCACUACGGGCCAAAGAGGACUUUCACCACAAACCUUUAUCUGUAACAUUAAAGGUCAUGAUUAUAUCAAUGCACAAUUCAUGGUCAUAAUCAUACCAAUCAAUAGUCCAUCUUUGCACUACGGGCCAAAGAUGACUUUCACCACAAUAUAAGCAUGAGGAUGAUGACAAUGAUAUAAAGAAUGAAUCAAGUGAGAUCAAGGAUAAAUAUUAGAGAUUUAUAUAUAAUAUAAUUUAAUUUAUCUAGAGUUCAAGAAUGUCCAAAUCCUUCAAUGAUCUCUCAUCAAAAAAUAACAUCCACCAACAAGGCACUUCAUAACAUGCUACAAAGCUUUUAAAAGAAAUAAGAUGAAGAAGAUAGGUUUCUAGAGUUUCUUACCUUUAAUGUUCUUGUUCUACUUCUUAGUCAAGGCUUGAAUGAUGAUCAAAUCUAGCCAUCCUCCUUCUCCUUUACCAAGGUAAGAUCUUCUCCCUCGUUUUCAAGGAACUCUCAAGUUCUUCCUUUCUCUCUUUAAUUCUCUGAUUUGUUACUUAGAAGAAAUGAGAUGAAAUGAAUGAAAUAACUAGGUGUAGAGAAUUAACUCAUCUCAUCUCCCACCAACUAAAUUAACCAUACUCUAAGGUUAGAUUAACUAAUGCAAAGUUAGGAGACCAAAUGAUUAGUUAAGGCCACGUUUGGUUUAAAUAAAAUGAAAGAAAGGAACCAACAUUAAAUGAUUAAUUGCUUCUUUUAGACCAAAACUUACAAAUAUGGAAAGUUUCCAUCCACUCCAUCUCUCCUCCCAUGCCAUCUGCCCACUUCCUCUUCUCUAUCUCUUCUCCCACAUUCAAUUCACCAUAUGUUUAAAAAAUGCUUGUAAUUGACACUUGACUAUCCUAGCUUAUGACUUACUUUUGUGACUCACCACUUAUCCUUGUCAUCCUCUAUUAUCCCAUGUGCUAAAUUUCCUUCAAAUGACACUUGCCCCUCCUUAGCUUUGGCUCCAAGUUUGGCUCAUUCAUUGGCACUAAGGUUGGCUCACACUUUGGCUUAAAUCUUCAAGCCAUAGCUUUGUGGAUUAAGCCUCCCUAACCUAGCCAAGCCCCUAUCAUCUUCUAGCCAAGUCAUUCAAACCCUAGGCUUGGCUAAAGAAAAAUUAAUUUAAUUUCUCAAUUUUUAGUUAAAUAUCAUAAUUCAUAUAGUUAGCAAAAAGUCAUUUUUGCCCUUUCGUACAAUUGAUUAGGGUUUACUUUCCAAACUAAGUCGGUCACCCGCUUCCCUUCUAGUUAGAUUUUCCUAACUCGUUCAACAUGCAAAAACCUCAAAAUUUCUUUCGUUAAUUUUUAUUACAUCUCCUAUCCUCCAUUAAUAGAUGUUACAAAGUAAUUAAAAAUUCUCGAAAAAGAAUGUAAUGUAUAUAAUUGUUUUUCUCGAAAAAUUUUACUUUCUCCAAAAAACUCCUAACACUCAUACUUAAUCACAUAACACGUAAACUAGGUCAUUAAUCUACCUAAAUAACAUUAUACAUAUUAAUAUCAAUAAAUUUUCAUUUAUUAGAUAUUAUUAUCGAAAAACCUAAUAUCAAGGCUAUCCAAAAUCUCGAAUUGUCACAAUAAGGGUAAAAGGUGUUAAAAGGAAUAUGUCGGGAAUAUGCUAGGGCAUAUUCCAAGGAAGCAGUCAAAUAUGGCAUAUUCUAAGAAUAUGACAAAGGCAUAAUAGUAAUUAGCCAUGAAAAUUUAGGAAAAGAUCAAAAUGCCCUCAACUUAGUUUCUUAUAAAUACUAGCUCAUUUCUCUUCCUUUCUUCACCAAUUCACCAUUUUAAGAGAAGAAACUCUACAAAAUUUGAGAGAGACAGUGAUCGAGAGCUCGGGAGAUUAUACACGAAAAGACGUGGAAAUGCUAGAUCAAACCAUCCGUAGGCUAAGAAUGCGAAGAAUCAAACAGUAAGAACGAAGAACUCUAACUUUUCUUUAUUUUAAAGCUUUGUAGUAUGAUAAUCGAAGUGCUUUGUUGGUGGAUGGUCAACUCGUGAUGAAUCAUAUAUUGAUCUAAAGUAAUAAUAAAGAAUUAGUGGACUAUAAAUCACAAUUAUUAUGCAUGAAAAGUGAAAUCGUUGUUAAAAUGACGAACAAAACGAAGAACGAAUGAAAAUAAAAUAAUCGUUGUGUGAAUGAGCAAUUUGAUGUGUAUUUCCUAAACUAGGAAUGAAAUCUGAGGGGAAGAUCAUAAACGUAGGUAAAUUACAAAGAUGUUCCAAGUGGAAUGAAUUAAAAACGAUCUAUAACGAAGUUAUAGCGAGAAUUUAAGUAAUAGACGUUAAACGUUGAAAUCAUAGUUUAAUAUGAUUUUUGAAAGAAAUUUUAAUGGUAGUUAAUGAUUCAGAAUAAUAAAAAUGACAAUGGGGAAAUAUAGACGUUAGUAUAAUUUAACUGUAGGCUCAAGAACGGACUCAUUCCAAUAUCGGAUGAUGAAGUUGUGGAGCGGUGAAGUAGAGGUUACGAGCCGAAUAAUUUUUGAGACUUAAGCCAUUUUGGCCGACUAAGACAUUGUCUCCCAGUUUUGGGGCACUGGUUUUAUGCCUUGGAGCAGCGCCGGGGAGCUAGGCCCCAUAUGAGGAAAGUCUGCUUUGUCCUUCUGUAGUAAAAUGGGCAUAACGUUUUUAUACGAACUCCGAUUGAGACGAUUCAAGAUGAUAUAGAAAGAUAAGAGAUAGACCUAAAACUUUCAUUUAAUAAGUUUUGAGAUUUGAGGUUGGGAGAAGGAUCCAAAAUGACCAUUUGUAGGACUGUUGUGUAGUCAGAGACAAUCGGAGGGCGUCAUGCAUGUGCAUAUGCAACGUGUAAUGCUUGCGAAAAUAAAAGAUGUUGUUCUAUAAGUUUUAAAAUAUGAACAUUAAGAAAUAUAAUGAUGCUUAAAAUUAAUCAAGGAUGUAUUAGAUAAAUAUAGGGUAAAAUGCAAAGUCGACCACUGAACUUUAGGGGUUUUUGGGUAUUGAGCCCUUUUCUUUUGGUCAACGCAAAUUGAGCCCCUUUUUAUUAAAAAAUUUGGACUUUGAGCCCCAGGCGCCACAUGUGCGUUGACUUCCUACAUGGCAACUAUGACGUGGAUAUUUCUAAUUUUACUUUACACAUGGCAGCUAUGACGUUGACAUUUUUGAAAUUUUUCCGAAAAACAUGUAGCUACACAGAUUUGAAUUUGGAACCUCAAACUUGGAAAUUUGGCCCAACAACCAAUUGAGCUAAACAACCAAGUUGUUAUAAUUUUGCAAGAAAUAAUAUUUAUAACUAAACAAUCAGAUCCCCAAAUUAAAAUAAAACAGAUCUCCCCAAAUUAUUAUUAUUAUUAUUAUUAUUAUUAUUAUUAUUAUUAUUAUUAUUAUUAUUAUUAUUAUUAUUAUUAUUAUUAUUAUUAUUAUUAUUAUUAUUAUUAGUACUACUACUACUACUACUCCUCCUCCUCCUCCUACUACUACUAUUAUUAUUAUUAUUGUUAUUAUUAUUAUUAUUAUUAUUAGUACUACUACUACUACUAUUAUUAUUAUUAUUAUUAUUAUUAUUAUUAUUAUUAUUAUUAUUAUUAUUGUUAUUAUUAUUAUUAUUAUUAGUACUAAUAAUAAUAAUAAUAGUAGUAGUAGUAGUAGUAGUAGUAGUACUAGUAAUAAUUUGGGGAGAUCUGUUUUAUUUUAAUUUGGGGAUCUAAUUGUUUAGUUAUAAAUAUUAAUUCUUGCAAAAUUAUAACAACUUGGUUGUGUAGCUCAGUUGAUUGUUGGGCCAAAUCUCCAAGCUUGAGGUUCCAAGUUCAAAUCUGUGUAGCUAUAUGUUUUUGGGAAAAAUUUCAAAAAUGUCCACGUCAUAGCUGCCAUGUGUAAAAUAAAAUUAAAAAUAUCCACGUCAUAGCUGCCAUGUAGGCGCCACGUAGACUGACACGCACAUGUGGCGCCUGGGGCUCAAAGUCCAAAUUUUUUAAUAAAAAGGGGCUCAAUUUGUAUUGACCAAAAGAAAAGAGCUCAAUACCCAAAAACCCCUAAAGUUCAGUAGUCGACUUUGCAUUUUACCCGAUAAAUAUAUGAACAUGUUAAACCUAUAUAUGCAAGGGAGGCGAAUGGGGAAUGUGACGUAUGAACGUCGAAACGUCGUGUCAAGUGUUAAUGAACUUAAAAAGUGGUUCGAUUCAAAUGGAACGAACAUUAUAAGAUAUAUAAUGGGGUUAUUGUAAACCACUAGGGAUGGAUGAUUAUGGGGCUGUUCAAGAGCUACUUAUAAGUUGGUCAAACCAACUUAUAAAUAGCUUUCUACUAUUCUACCGUUCGUUUGCUACUUAAAUUGUGACUUAUUUUUUGACUUAUAAGUUAAAAAUAAUAAGUAAAAAUUUCUAACUUAUUGAAAAAUGACUUAUAAGUCAUUCUCAAUAAGUUGGUUUGACCAAAUGUAAUGACCAUUUAACCUUUUUCUAUUUUGAUAAAUUACAUACUUCUCAUCGUUAUCGGUGCUCUCUCCGGCAUCUCCGACUCGUUUUUGCCAUCUCUUUCAGUCUGAUACUUGAGCCUCAGCAGAAGCACCAUCAGGAUCUUCAUUUUCACAUUUGAACUUUCCUAUCUGUUCUUCUUCUUCAAGGACGAUUGUGUUAUCUUCAGCAAUGAACGUGAUUAAAGAUGAAAAUGGGACUGUUUAUGUUUAUAGAAAAGGGAGAAAGGGAAUGAUGAUGAAGAGAGUUAAAAGGAGCAAGAGAAUUGAUGGAUUUGAAUGGAACUAAAAGAGAUAAUGAACGAUUUGAUAAGGUUUUGUGCUGAAGUUUGGUCCAGGGAGUGAGCUGAGAGGAUAAGGAAGGGGAAACAGAACUUUUCAUACUUUUAUUGGACUGAUAGUCCAAC
rnacentral:lncRNA from 1 species